rnacentral:rRNA from 1 species
UGCCUACGGGGGGCUGCAGUGGGGAAUAUUGCACAAUGGGCGAAAGCCUGAUGCAGCAACGCCGCGUGAGCGAUGAAGGCCUUCGGGUCGUAAAGCUCUGUCCUCAAGGAAGAUAAUGACGGUACUUGAGGAGGAAGCCCCGGCUAACUACGUGCCAGCAGCCGCGGUAAUACGUAGGGGGCUAGCGUUAUCCGGAAUUACUGGGCGUAAAGGGUGCGUAGGUGGUUUUUCAAGUCAGGAGUGAAAGGCUACGGCUCAACCGUAGUAAGCUCUUGAAACUGUAAAACUUGAGUGCAGGAGAGGAGAGUGGAAUUCCUAGUGUAGCGGUGAAAUGCGUAGAUAUUAGGAGGAACACCAGUUGCGAAGGCGGCUCUCUGGACUGUAACUGACACUGAGGCACGAAAGCGUGGGGAGCAAACAGGAUUAGAUACCCUGGUAGUCACA